rnacentral:rRNA from 2 species
UGGGGAAUAUUGCACAAUGGGGGAAACCCUGAUGCAGCGACGCCGCGUGAGCGAAGAAGUAUUUCGGUAUGUAAAGCUCUAUCAGCAGGGAAGAAAUAGGACGGUACCUGACUAAGAAGCACCGGCUAAAUACGUGCCAGCAGCCGCGGUAAUACGUAUGGUGCAAGCGUUAUCCGGAUUUACUGGGUGUAAAGGGAGCGUAGACGGUUGUGUAAGUCUGAUGUGAAAGCCCGGGGCUCAACCCCGGGACUGCAUUGGAAACUAUGUAACUAGAGUGUCGGAGAGGUAAGCGGAAUUCCUAGUGUAGCGGUGAAAUGCGUAGAUAUUAGGAGGAACACCAGUGGCGAAGGCGGCUUACUGGACGAUCACUGACGUUGAGGCUCGAAAGCGUGGGGAGCAAACA